UAAGCUAGAACUGCUCCUUCU
rnacentral:sRNA from 1 species